rnacentral:tRNA from 1 species
GCCGACGUAGCUCAACUGGCAGAGCGGCUGACUUGUAAUCAGCAGGUUUAGGGGUUCAAGUCCCCUCGUCGGCUCCA